rnacentral:rRNA from 1 species
UCAAAAACAUGUCCUAUUGAUAAUAAUUUUAGGUUUAACCUGCCCUCUGAAUAUUUAUUUUAAUGGCCGCGGUAUUUUGACCGUGCUAAGGUAGCAUAAUCAUUAGUUUCUUAAUUAGAAGCUGGAAUGAAUGGUUGGAUGAGAAAAUUUCUGUCUCUAUUUAAUUUUAAUAAAAAUUUAUUUUUUAGUAAAAAAGCUGAAAUUAUUUUGAAAGACGAGAAGACCCUUUAGAGUUUAAUAUAUCUAGAAUUUUAUUAUUUAUUUGAAUUGAAAUUUUUAAUUUUUUAAUAUAUUUAAUUGGGGUGAUUGAAAAAUUUAAUAAACUUUUUUUAUUUAUAAUACAUUUAUUUAUGAUUUAUUGAUCCAUUGUUUAUGAUUAUAGGAUUAAAUUACCUAAGGGAUAACAGCGUAAUGUUUUCAGAGAGUUCUUAUCGAAGAAAAAGAUUGCGACCUCGAUGUUGGAUUAAAAUUAACUUUAGGUGUAGGAGCUUAAAAGUUAGGUCUGUUCGACCUAUAAAAUUUUACAUGAUCUGA